UGACGGAUGUUCAGUGGUAGAAUAGUAGUGACUCUAAGACCCGACUUGCACUCGGGUGGUCGUGGGUUCAAAUCCCACCCGGUCCA
rnacentral:tRNA from 1 species